GAAAUUAUCGUCCGGAAUGCAAUCGGAUUGUAGGAAUAAGAGACUUUGCCUUGAGGAUGUUCCUUGUGAUGGAAGAAGGACCUCUAGCUGAGAAGUAUGCAACAGCUGGAGCAGGCUUAUAUUUUGUCACUGCUGUGGUAGCUGAUCUUUAACUUCAGAUCAAGACAAUAGUCUUUUGUCUUACUUAGUUGAGUUUAUGUAAGAAAGAAUUUCAGCAGCAUCCUUUGAACUGAUGACGGUCAUCGGAAAUUCCUUGUAAGUGGAUGCAACGGCCUUUGUCUUGUCAUCAACCAAAAUUAGACCAAUUCCUCCUAAGCUUUGAACUUCCCCCUUCUUCUCAUAAUCUGAGUAUUCACCAUCUUCAUUAUCACAGAGUAUAAUAUUUCCUUUGAUCUUCUCCUUAUCCAUGGAACCUGGCUUGCAGUUUCUGAACCAAUGCAUGUUUUAGAUAUAAAUAUUAGUGCAUGAGAGAAUUCCAUGGCUCAUAAAAAUAAUUAAACCCUUUUUUUGUGUG